rnacentral:rRNA from 1 species
AGCGAGCGGCGGAUGGGUGAGUAACGACGUGGGGAACCUAGCCCCACUAGUCUGGGAUACCACUUGGAAACAGGUGCUAAUACCGGAUAAGAAAGCAGAUCGCAUGAUCAGCUUUUAAAAAGGCGGCGUAAGCUGUCGCUAUGGGAUGGCCCCGCGGUGCAUUAGCUAGUUGGUAAGGUAAAGGCUUACCAAGGCGAUGAUGCAUAGCCGAGUUGAGAGACUGAUCGGCCACAUUGGGACUGAGACACGGCCCAAACUCCUACGGGAGGCAGCAGUGGGGAAUCUUCCACAAUGGACGCAAGUCUGAUGGAGCAACGCCGCGUGAGUGAAGAAGGUUUUCGGAUCGUAAAGCUCUGUUGUUGGUGAAGAAGGAUAGAGGUAGUAACUGGCCUUUAUUUGACGGUAAUCAACCAGGAAGUCACGGCUAACUACGUGCCAGCAGCCGCGGUAAAAU